GGCCGCUGCCGCCUCGGGACACACAUUUACGCAGCAACACGCAAACCCAUUCUGGCGACUCCGGGGGACCCGAGGAACCGGCGCGGAAAGCUGUAGGACUGAAGACCUUGGCUUUUGCUGGCUGUCCACUGGAGACUGCCCUCAAUUCCUAGGUGGCACCUGGCAUUCAUGGGCCAGCACGGCCACUUACUUCAUCAAGUCAGCAAGGAGAGUCUCCAGAGCAAGUCUGCUAGCAAGAUGGAAUCUCAUAUAACACAAGUGCCCGUCAUGUGCAAGGCAUUGUGAUAAAGAAGUUGAAUAUGGCAGAGAAGCUACAGUCUAGUUGGGAAAACAAGAUGGAGACACAUAAGAAAUGUAAUCCACAGUGGGGCUCUCAUCAGGUUUCAGCCACAGGCAUGAAGGCAACGUUGCUGAAACUACAAGAUACCUGCGUGGGUCACACCUGCCGCUGCCUCUGGGCCUGCAGUUCCUCGCAGGAUUUCGAAGAAGCAUGUCCAUACUGCUUCCAGCUGCAGCUGCUGGAUAAAGCUGGAAUGUGUCUCCAGCCCAAGGCUAAACUGACACCCCAAAGUACAGACACUUAUUAAUUGAGAAGCAAAAUAAAUAUGCACUCAGGUUUAAAGAAGCAAAAAUUAUGAAGAAGUAGAAAGGCUCCAAAACUAUUUUGUUGAUUACUUGUAAAAUAUGCAUCAGAACACUAACUGGUAAAAUAACAGGAAAAGGAGAAGCAUCCUAUGGACGAUGAGAAACAAUUCUACCACUCCUCAGAUUUAACCCUUGCAGGAAGACACAGAGACUAAAGUUCUGAGUUCUGCAAUUCUGGUUCCAAUGGCGAGAGCCCAGCCUGGUUUUCAGAACACCUACAUCUGGACAGUCAAUACCCAUUUGCUCCUCAAAGGACAUGAGCAAAACAAAGAAACACUUCUCUUAACUAAAAAUGCUGCUUAGUCAGAAAGAAUUCCAGAAGAAUCCAAAGUGGAUUUCAGAAAUUUCUUGUCUCCUCUGUAAAGAAUGGAUUUUGAGAAAUGUCUAAUGCUAUUUCUGAACUAAAGCUAGUCAGUAAAAAAACUUGUUUGACUUUUAUUUAUUUUCUGAAUACAUAGAAACCAAAUCCAAGAACAAACUUUCCUUGGCAUCCUUGGCAUUUGUGGGAAAUAAAAACCUCACUGGAAUGAAUAACUGAAACCUACCCACCUCAAGUGUUAGUUGUGAGAUCAAAAAAAUAUGUGAAAGUGCUUGUCAGUAGUAAACUCAUAAGCAGGUA